rnacentral:rRNA from 1 species
CUCGUAGGUGGUUUGUCGCGUUGUUCGUGAAAUCUCACGGCUUAACUGUGAGCGUGCGGGCGAUACGGGCAGACUUGAGUACUGCAGGGGAGACUGGAAUUCCUGGUGUAGCGGUGGAAUGCGCAGAUAUCAGGAGGAACACCGGUGGCGAAGGCGGGUCUCUGGGCAGUAACUGACGCUGAGGAGCGAAAGCGUGGGGAGCGAACAGGAUUAGAUACCCUGGUAGUCCACGCCGUAAACGGUGGGUACUAGGUGUGGGUUUCCUUCCUUGGGAUCCGUGCCGUAGCUAACGCAUUAAGUACCCCGCCUGGGGAGUACGGCCGCAAGGCUAAAACUCAAAGAAAUUGACGGGGGCCCGCACAAGCGGCGGAGCAUGUGGAUUAAUUCGAUGCAACGCGAAGAACCUUACCUGGGUUUGACAUGCACAGGACGCCGGCAGAGAUGUCGGUUCCCUUGUGGCCUGUGUGCAGGUGGUGCAUGGCUGUCGUCAGCUCGUGUCGUGAGAUGUUGGGUUAAGUCCCGCAACGAGCGCAACCCUUGUCUCAUGUUGCCAGCGGGUAAUGCCGGGGACUCGUGAGAGACUGCCGGGGUCAACUCGGAGGAAGGUGGGGAUGACGUCAAGUCAUCAUGCCCCUUAUGUCCAGGGCUUCACACAUGCUACAAUGGCCGGUACAAAGGGCUGCGAUGCCGCGAGGUUAAACGAAUCCUUUUAAAGCCGGUCUCAGUUCGGAUCGGGGUCUGCAACUCGACCCCGUGAAGUCGGAGUCGCUA